rnacentral:rRNA from 1 species
GACGAACGCUGGCGGCGUGCUUAACACAUGCAAGUCGAACGGUAAGGCCCUUCGGGGUACGCGAGUGGCGAACGGGUGAGUAACACGUGGGUGAUCUGCCCUGCACUUCGGGAUAAGCCUGGGAAACUGGGUCUAAUACCGGAUAGGACCACUGCCUGCAUGGGUGGUGGGGGAAAGCUUUUGCGGUGUGGGAUGGGCCCGCGGCCUAUCAGCUUGUUGGUGGGGUGAUGGCCUACCAAGGCGACGACGGGUAGCCGGCCUGAGAGGGUGACCGGCCACACUGGGACUGAGAUACGGCCCAGACUCCUACGGGAGGCAGCAGUGGGGAAUAUUGCACAAUGGGCGCAAGCCUGAUGCAGCGACGCCGCGUGAGGGAUGACGGCCUUCGGGUUGUAAACCUCUUUCAGCACCGACGAAGCGCAAGUGACGGUAGGUGCAGAAGAAGGACCGGCCAACUACGUGCCAGCCGCCGCGGUAA